GUGAACGCUGGCGGUAGGCCUAACCCAUGCACGUCGAACGGCAGCACAGUAAGAGCUUGCUCUUACGGGUGGCGAGUGGCGGACGGGUGAGGAAUACAUCGGAAUCUACUUUUUCGUGGGGGAUAACGUAGGGAAACUUACGCUAAUACCGCAUACGACCUACGGGUGAAAGCAGGGGAUCUUCGGACCUUGCGCGAUUGAAUGAGCCGAUGUCGGAUUAGCUAGUUGGCGGGGUAAGGCCCACCAAGGCGACGAUCCGUAGCUGGUCUGAGAGGAUGAUCAGCCACACUGGAACUGAGACACGGUCCAGACUCCUACGGGAGGCAGCAGUGGGGAAUAUUGGACAAUGGGCGCAAGCCUGAUCCAGCCAUACCGCGUGGGUGAAGAAGGCCUUCGGGUUGUAAAGCCCUUUUGUUGGGAAAGAAAAGCAGCAGGUUAAUACCCCGCUGUUCUGACGGUACCCAAAGAAUAAGCACCGGCUAACUUCGUG
rnacentral:rRNA from 1 species